GAUGAACGCUGGCGGCGUGCCUAAUACAUGCAAGUCGAGCGAACGGACGAGAAGCUUGCUUUUCUGAUGUUAGCGGCGGACGGGCGAGUAACACGUGGAUAACCUACCUAUAAGACUGGGAUAACUUCGGGAAACCGGAGCUAAUAACGGCUAAUAUUUUGAACCGCAUGAUUCAAAAGUGAAAGACGGUCUUGCUGUCACUUAUAGAUGGAUCCGCGCUGCAUUAGCUAGUUGGUAAGGUAACGGCUUACCAAGGCAACGAUGCAUAGCCGACCUGAGAGGGUGAUCGGCCACACUGGAACUGAGACACGGUCCAGACUCCUACGGGAGGCAGCAGUAGGGAAUCUUCCGCAAUGGGCGAAAGCCUGACGGAGCAACGCCGCGUGAGUGAUGAAGGUCUUCGGAUCGUAAAACUCUGUUAUUAGGGAAGAACAUAUGUGUAAGUAACUGUGCACAUCUUGACGGUACCUAAUCAGAAAGCCACGGCUAACUACGUG
rnacentral:rRNA from 1 species